rnacentral:lncRNA from 1 species
UGUAUUAAAUAACCCUUUAAUCAACUUGAUAUGAAAAUUGAAAACUGAUUGAAAGCAUGCUGAAGUUGUUUGAAUUCAGAAAUUGAAAGAGUACAAAAUUGGUUGAAAGAUUAAAUUAAGUAACAGGUAUGGUUGAGGGAUUAUUUAUAGUUCUAAUUAUAAUUAUUUCUUUUAAAUAGAGUUGUUAUCAGAUUCAAAGAUUGAAGAAGAUAAUUUUUCUUCACAUUUUAUUGAUGAACACCAAGCAAAGUUCACAUUGUCAAAGAGUUUUAAGUUUUAAUAGAUGCAAAAUGUUAUUCUCAAGGAGCUUGCAGAAAUAAAAGUUCUUUUAAAAGAAGUUAUAGAAAUUAAGUUUCAGGCUACUGGGGUGAAGUUGCUAGAAUCGGUGGACGAAGUGGUUCACUGGAUAAUAAACUAAAAGAUAAAACCGAGUAUACUAAUUUGCUUGAUAGUUUAAAAAAGAUUGGUGGUGGAAAGCCAAGAGAACAUGUUUUUUAGAUCAUGUAAAGGUUAUUUUCGAAUCAGUUACAGUCCAAAUUAAAUCGAAAAGCAAAUGGGGAAAAGAUAAGCUUAGAAAAUCUAGUAAAUAUAUGGAGUGUUUUACGAGAUAUCGGCGACGUAGAAGAAAAUAUUGACGGCAAUGCAGAAAUAUAGUUUCUUAUGUAUAUUUUUGUGAAAUAAAAAUUAAGUAAUGUUAGUUAAAA